UUCCCUGUCUUGGCUGUUAAUGAAAGGUAAGAGAAUCCCUUCUCUCACUAAAGAAUCCUUUAGUGCAGUGACAGCUCAGUCUGUUGCCAUGGAAGUGUUUUUGACACCACAAAUAGAGUUCUAAAAGUUCCCUUCAUGAUCAAACUGCUAGAGGCUCCAAGCUCAGACCAAGGACGAAGAAUCCUGCAUUGCUGUCAAACACAGUAGUUUUUCUCACCCUGUGCAGACACUUCGGAAUAGCUCCUCCCAGCCAGCAGGUGGAGACAGUGCAAAUUCCUCAGUGUCUCAUCAUGAGGAUUCCUCCCCUGAAGCCCUUGGGAAUUGUGUGUGGAAACCAGCUGCAGAAUCAGGCAAUAAACAGGUACAAUAAUGAGAAAGCCCAACAGUGCUGACGGCCCAUCAGCAAGAGACAAUGGAUUGUAAAAGAGCUUAGUCUUCCUGCGAACAUGUCAGUCAGCCUGUGAAGAAUGGCUACAGGGGCCCUACAGAGGCAUGUGACCAUGUCACCUGAUACCGGAACCCAUCUUGAAUUCUGUACUUUU